ACUACCGUAGCUUAACGGAAAAGCGCCCAUUUCGGGUUGAUGGGGGUUCGAUUCCUCCCGAUAGUC
rfam:Phytophthora megakarya strain zdho120 scaffold_1147, whole genome shotgun sequence.